CGGGAUGUAGCUCAGUUUGGCUAGAGCGCCUGGUUCGGGACCAGGAGGUCGCAGGUUCAAGUCCUGUCAUCCCGACCA
rnacentral:tRNA from 1 species